rfam:Sus scrofa isolate TJ Tabasco breed Duroc chromosome 4, whole genome shotgun sequence.
CAAAAGGCUCUUUUCAGAGCCACCCAUCUUCUCAAUGGAAGAAGCU